UUGGUUUUGGAGCAGGAAUUAUGAAUACUCUAGACCUGGAGGUAAUUAACAAUAAGUUAAGUUCCUUAUCACAACUGCAAGAUAGUCUCAUUCACAAGCAGUCAGAAACUACUGUGAACUUGGUAUAAAUAGAUCUGGGAAACCUAAAAGCAACA